GGCCGGCCGCGAGGCGGCGGUAAGAUGGCGGCGACGGCGGAGAGCGGAGGCGGCCCGUCAGCGCCGGUGGCGGGGGAGGAGGAGCCGCCUCUGGGACUCGAUUCGCUGGUGGAGGAAGCGGCGGCGACCGCGGCGGCCAGCGCGGGGUUCCGAUUGACGGCGGUGAGGAGAGAACCGGCGGUGCGGCUGCAGCACGGGGUCAGCGGGUUGGAGCCGCUGGCCUGGUCGGAGGAUCACCGGGUGUCGGUGAGCACCGCCCGCAGCAUCGCCGUGCUGGAGCAGCUCAGCGACGUGCACGGCGGCGGGCAGGAGAUGGUCAUCCAUCGCACGGCCGUGCCCGCGCCCGGCGCCGCCUGCCUGCUGAAGGUUGGCCCAAAAAAGGAGGUAGCGGAAUGCAAAGAGAAGUUUGCCAAUUCCAUGGAUCCAACUGUUAGUCAGACUUUUAUGCUGGAUCGUGUGUUCAAUCCAGAGGGAAAGUCGCUGCCGCCGAUGCGAGGAUUCAAGUAUUCCAGCUGGUCACCACUGGGCUGCGAUGCCAACGGAAGGUGCCUGCUUGCAGCUUUAACCAUGGACAAUCGAUUGACCAUCCACGCAAACCUCAACAGGCUGCAGUGGGUGCAGCUGGUGGACCUGACGGAAAUCUAUGGGGAACGUUUGUAUGAAGCCAAUUACAGACUGACGAAGGCUGACACUCCCAGGGGAGAAUUAGAAGACUUCUCUGAAUUUCAGCGGCGGCACAGCAUGCAGACCCCAGUACGCAUGGAGUGGUCGGGUAUCUGUACCACUCAGCAGGUUAAACACAACAACGAAUGUCGGGAUGUUGGCAGCGUGCUCUUAGCAGUGCUCUUUGAAAACAGUAACAUUGCGGUUUGGCAAUUUCAGCUUCCGUUUCUGGGUAAGGAAUCAAUUACUUCUUGUAAUACCAUAGAGUCCGGAAUAAGUUCUCCGAGUGUCCUGUCUUGGUGGGAAUAUGAACAUAACAACCGAAAGAUGAGUGGACUUAUUGUAGGCAGUGCUUUUGGACCAGUUAAAAUCCUUCCCGUCAAUCUGAAAGCAGUCAAAGGCUACUUUACGCUCAGGCAGCCCGUAGUCUUAUGGCAAGAAAUGGACCAGUUGCCAGUGCAUAGUAUCAAAUGUAUUCCUCUUUACCAUCCCUACCAGAAAUGUAGUUGUAGCUUAGUGGUGGCUGCAAGAGGAGCUUACGUGUUUUGGUGUCUUCUGUUGAUAUCCAAGGCAGGUCUGAAUGUCCAUAAUUCCCACGUGACAGGGCUACAUUCUUUGCCAAUUGUAUCUAUGACGGCGGACAAACAGAACGGCACAGUGUAUACGUGCUCCAACGAUGGAAAGGUAAGGCAGCUGAUUCCUAUCUUUACAGAUGUUGCUUUAAAGUUUGAGCACCAGCUGAUUAAGCUCUCAGAAGUGUUUGGCUCUGUAAGGACUCACGGAAUAGCUGUUAGCCCCUGCGGUGCAUACUUAGCAGUUAUUACGACCGAGGGCAUGACUAACGGCCUUCACCCUGUUAACAAAAACUACCAAGUUCAGUUUGUUACCCUUAAGACUUUUGAGGAGGCAGCUGCACAGCUCUUGGAAUCUUCUGUACAGAACCUUUUCCGGCAAGUGGACUUGACAGAUCUUGUGCGCUGGAAAAUCUUGAAGGAUAAGCAUAUUCCUCAAUUUUUACAGGAAGCACUGGAUAAAAAGAUUGAGAGCUGUGGUUCUACUUAUUUCUGGCGGUUUAAGCUGUUUCUCCUGAGGAUUUUAUACCAGUCAAUGCAGAAAGCUCCCUCAGAGGUGAUGUGGAAACCUUCCCACGAGGAUGCAAAAAUACUGAUAUCUGAUUCCCCUGGAAUGGGCAGCACUGAAGACGAUCAAGAGGAAGGAACUUCUAAACAAGCCAGCAAGCAGAGCCUAUGUGACACAGGCAAAGGUAUGGACAUAGAUGACACUGCAGAUGAUUCUCUUCCUCAGUCGAGUGACAUAGGAGGCCGUGAGCCAAUGGAAGAAAAGCUUCUUGAAAUACAGGCACAAAUUGAGGCAGUAGAAAUGCACUUGACACGAGAACACAUGAAACGGGUGUUGGGAGAAGUUUAUCUACACACAUGGAUUACAGAAAACACCAGUAUUCCCACCAGAGGAGUCUGUGAUUUCUUAAUGUCCGAUGAUGGAUAUGAUGACAGAACAGCACGAGUGCUGAUUGGGCAUAUCUUAAAGAAAAUGAACAAACAGACUUUUCCAGAGCACUGCAGCUUGUGUAAGGAGAUCCUGCCAUUCACUGAUCGCAAACAGGCAGUCUGCUCCAAUGGACAUAUUUGGCUCAGGUGCUUUCUAACCUACCAGUCCUGUCAGAGUUUGGUGUACAGGAGGUGUUUGCUUCACGACAGCAUUGCACGGCAUCCAACCCCAGAAGAUCCUGAGUGGAUCAAGAGGUUAUUGCAAGGACCCUGCACGUUCUGCGACUCUCCUGUGUUCUAGACAAGAGCUGUGUAAAGACUGAAACUAUUUUCUCUACUGCAUAAGCUCCCUUCACAGUCUAGAUUGAUAUCAAGUGCAGGAAUACAAACUUUACUGGAGGGGGAGGACUCUGUCCCUGUAAAUAGAACGCUGGAUGUUCUAGAAACUCCCUGUGUCCAGAGGCCAUUCCAUGCUCCAGCAGCAGAAGUACAUCUGGAAGAGUGAGCUCAUUAAGCACCCCAUUGAUGUGUCAGCAGCUGGACAUGCUUCCUUUCACUGAAAAGAAACUGAAGUCUUAAGCACACAGAGUGAACUGUCCUCUCUGCAGGCCAACUGUGUGAUUUCCCAAAAGCUGGGAGGGAACAGCGGAGCUGCCUCUUGAAUAGCCUUGGCAGUAGAUACUCACUAUACCAUUGCCACUUUAUUUAACCUGGUUUAUGACUGCUGGGAGAACGGAAUUUUAAAGCCAACGAUGUCAGCUUUGUCUGCAUGCCAGUGGAGAUCCUUUAGCACAAAGCUUUCACUUCUCACCCUGACCCAUUCACAACAGGUAAAGGGGUAUUGUGAUUUAUUUUUUAAACAGUCAUUGGUCCCUGAAUGUGUUUUUAACUAGUGUAGAUUGAGUAGUGUAGCCUCAGACCAGUAGCAUUUAACCUCAGAUGUUGAUCUUACUGGGUUUUUCUGCCCAGCUACCAGCUGAAACUUCAAGAAACCUUUUGUCUGUCUUGGAUACGUGGCUUGCAGGCCUAGAAAUGGGAGGUUUAGUCCCGUUCCUGGUACUGUAGCAGCCUGCAGAGCUGCACCCUAGUGCAUCAUCCCUUGUGUUUUCCCUUAUCAAAGCCUUUGCUUUCACCCCACGUACAGAGAAGGGCAGCGGAUGAAGGAGGUACAAACACCUGCUGCUGGGUCCUUGCACUGUUUUUGCUGUGAACAGAGCUGCCUUCCCAAACUGGUACCUGGUAAAGCAGUUCUGCAUUAAGGCCCAGUGUGGUCUGAGAAACCACAAUGUGCUUCUCAUGGCAAUUACAAGAGUUCAUCGCUCUUAUCCUGGAGAGAAGAAAUCCAGGCUGUUGAAGAGAUGGACAGAACAGCUUUGGACUGGUUUUGGACAGUUGUUUUGCCUUGAUGUUAAAUGCCAUUGCUUGAAGUAAGGUGAAAGUUUGGGGUGAUGAUGACACUUGGUUCUCCAAACUCCAUCUCCUGCUCUGGAAUCAGUGACAGUACAGCUCAUCACUGCCUUGUUAAUUAAUUUAGCUUUGGGGUGGGGAAGUAAACUAGCGUUUACAGGAGGCUUGUUUUCACAAGUGUAACUUCUCAAAUACAAAGCCCUUCUCUAUUGCUUACCCAGUUUGUAAAACAGUGGGCAGCACUUGAAGGCACAAUUGCUGGCAUCUCAGCAACCACCUCCGAAUAGGAAAUCAGAGAGAACCAGGAGAAGAAUGUCAUCAUUUUUUCUGGCAGUCACGUGGUAAGUGUGCUGACAGCAGCAGUUCAGUGCCCACCACAGCAAGCCUUGCAGUUUGUUGCUGUGCACUGGUUUAGCAAUGCAGCUGGAAGCAAGGGCAGUAGCAGAAUUAGGCUCAAAGUGCUGGUGGUUACAGCAGAAGGGAGAUUAAUAAGAAGUUUCUAAACCGGAAGAAAAAGUUGAUGGGAUCUCAGUAAAUAGAGGUGAAAUGCUCCAAGUAGUUAUCAGGACUGCUUUUCUCAACCCCCCUUUUGAAGCUUUCUAUAUCAGGCCUGUAAAUGCACAAGCUACACUUGCAUUUUAAAUGUACACUGACAAGGGAAAGGGUUUAUCCUUUAACAAGAGCUGUGGGAUGCCUGCUAGUUUACUGCUUUGCUGCUACAUGAGAUUAGCAAAGCUGCUUUUCCCAUCUGGGCGGGUAAACAAGGAGGAUGUGAGCUUGGCUCUAUGCACCAAGAUUCCUACUCUGCCUAUUGAAGAUGGAGGAAUCUUGACAAGACAGAGUUCAGCAUUCUCCUGGAAGUCUCAGGCCAGGAUGGCUUUUCACAGUUACAUGGAGGUCAGCACGUCUGCACAGCAGUGUCUGCAGAGCUGCUGUUCUCACUUCUAGUGGAGGAGGGCCUUGUAUCCACACUGUCACUUAAUCUGUGCUAAUCCUUUGCCAUACUCAGUUCUGACUCAUACAAAGUGAGCAUUAAUACUUUACACUGGAGUUGUUUCCAGACCCUUGCUGUCAGUAGGAAUAUUCUUUUUCCAUAGCUGUAUUUUAUUACUGCUGAUUCAGUUUUUAUUUGUCUUUAUUUGAGAUACCCAGAACUCCUGCUGCUCUGUCACCUGCGUAGGGACCUCAGCAGUGUCACAACUGCCUCUACAUGACUAGACAGAGCUGUUCCCAUUGCUGCAACACAGCAGGUACACAGGUCUCCAUCCUAACAUUAACUGCAUUGCUAUCCAAUCUGUGUGCAUUACAGAGCAGCAAAGGGAGUUUGCAAAUUUCCUGCACUGUCUUAGGCUUCAGCUAAAUCAUUCUAAGUGUGUGCAUCUCAUCUGGAGUACCUCCAUCACAGAAGGACUCUUGCACUGCUGAGAGCCUACAGCCAGAGUUCCAGGGCCACACCAAUCCUGUAGCACUCUUAUUUAACACUAAGCAUAAUAAGCCAACCCCCAAAAGGGAAAACCCAAGAGCCACCCAAACAGAACAGUUCACAUAAGAUUUAAUUUAAUUGCUCUGCUAAUUUAAUGGAUCUCUUCAUGCUGCUUCAAAUUCUGUUCUGCAGUGUAAGUGUUGUAGCUGGCAGACUGCAUGGUCCAAGCUAAAUGAAAAGCAUAGAUGAGUUCUCAUCUUCAGUUUCUGGAUUUUUCUUUGGAGAUUCAGUUCACGAGAGGGUCUGACAAAGCUGCUGUGAAUAUUGAUGCUAUGAUGCUAUCAUAUUGAAUAUGAUGCUAUGUAUAUGGCACAUUUUGUAAACGUGAAGCAAACUCGGAUGGAUGUUUUAUAUACUGCAUUGUAAUCCUGCUCCUUUUUUUAAAUUCUAAAUAAAUAAAUAAAGUACUUGU